rnacentral:tRNA from 1 species
GGGCGACUAGCUCAGCGGGAGAGCACUGCCUUCACACGGCAGGGGUCACAGGUUCGAACCCUGUGUCGCCCACCA